GGGAACUAUGGAGCUAUGAGGGAGGAGCUGGCCAAAGUUCAAUGGAACAAUACCCUAACAGGGAAGACAGUGGAACAACAAUGGCAGGUGAGGACAGUAUACUUGAAGAUCAUCAUCUGGUAUUCUUUCUUUCUCCUCCAACUCCGAGGCUCAGAUACUGGAAAAAGGUUGUGAUAGCCGGAGGUCAGCAGGAGACGCUCAUGGAAUGUGCAGUGGAAAGUAUACUGACUAAAUGCAUCACAGCCUAAUAUGGAAACACCAAUACCCUUCAGCGGAAAGGUCUAGAAAAAUUAGUGAAUACAGCCCAGUCCAUCACAAAUAAAACCCUCCCCACCACUGAGCACAUCUGCGAGGAGUGCUGUCACAAGAAUGCACCAUCUAUCAUCAAGGACCUGCACCAUCCAGGCUAUGCUCUAUUCUCACUGCUGCCAUCAGGAAGGAGAUACAGGAUCCUCAAGAUCCAUUCCACCAGCAACAGUUAUUAUUUCUCAACCAUCAGGCUCUUGAACCAGAGGGGGUAACUUCACUCAACUUUACUGACCUCAACACUGAACCAUUCCCACAAUCUAUGGACUCACCUUCAAGGACUGAUCAUCUCAUAUUCUCAACAUUUAUUGCUUAUCUAUUAUUAUUUUAGUAUUUGCACAGUUUGUCAUCUUUUGUACUUGGGGUGAAUGUCCAUUUUGUGUGGAGUUUUACAUUGAUUCUGUGGUGCUUCUUUGUAUCUACUAUGAAUGGCUUCAAGACAAUGAAUCUCAGGGUUGUAUAUGGUAACCUAUAUGCACUUUGAUAAUGAAUUUACUUUGAACUUUAAACUCCAACUUGGUCACACUGAAAGCAUAGUAUUCCCAAACAUUAAGCUGCCAGUCCUACCUUUCUCUCACAUAUUUCUGUUAGGACCAUAAAUAUCCCAGUCCCUAAAUGCAAUCUACACCCUCAGUUCAUCUGCCUUACAUGCCAAGGUACAGGCAUUGAAACAGAUGCAAUUUAAAGUAGGCCUUCUAUCUGCUCUUUUAAAGUAACCAUGACUAUACUGAUUGCUGGACUAAUAAUGUUCUUUGGAUGUUUCUGUCUUUUCACUGACUUUACUCUUAUGAGUCCUACCCCGCCAAAAAAACACUCUCCCUGGUCGCAAAAGCAAAUUUCCCUGCUAGGUUACCGUCCCCCUCAGGUUCAAGUGCAACCCAUCUAAACUGCACAGGCUUUGUACCUGUACAUUUACCCAUGUAGCUGCUGUUCCAAGUGCUUCACAUUUUCCUAGAAGAGAGAGAAAAAGAGAGACACAGAGAAGGGGGGGGGAAGCGAGGUGGGUGGGGAGCGAGGACAUGCACGCAUGCAGCAUGUCAAAUUGUCAAGUGAACAAUUAGUUUUUGUGGGACUGCAGAUUAUGAUCUCCCUUUGGGGGCUUUGCUAAUGCUUGGUGGGUAGUGGGUCCUGAUGCUUCCUGCAGAAACAAGUGGAAUGGGUGAAUGCUUUGCCAUGGGGGGGGGGGGGGAGAGAGGGCUUUGGGGUUCUAACAUUUUACUGUCAUUCAUUCUUUGUGGUUUGGUGGUUCUCUUCUGUUUUCAUGGAUGUCUGUAAAGAACAAGCAUUUCAGGUUGUAUAAUGUACACAUUUUCUGAUAUUAAGUGGAACCAUUGAACCACUUCUCCCUUCAAUAACGCAGCCAACCAAAAUAAAUACCUCAAUGCUGGCAAGUUAUUGUUCCCUACACAAAUCACAGGUGAGAACAGAAGUUUGUAUUCAACUAUGUCCACGGAAGUAGUUAAAUAGAGGAUAAAUGUCAGUAGUGGAUCAACAAUAUUUAGAUGGCAUUUAGAGAAUGGGAGAGACAGAUUUCUUCUGCAUACUUGAGUGUACGUAGGGUGUAUGCACAUUCUGUGGAAAUUUACCCAGUACAUUAGCCCCAACUUAGCAAAAUGAUCAUGCACUGACAUACUGGAGAAAAAGAUCACUAUUUAACGAAGUAAAAUAAGGAUUUCAGUCAAAAUAACCCAUAAUAUUCUGUUAAUUUAAAUAAUAUGGAUUUGACAACAGUUGUAACUUAAAAGUCAC